rnacentral:misc_RNA from 1 species
GAUGAAGAACGUAGCGAAAUGCGAUAAGUAAUGUGAAUUGCAGAAUUCAGUGAAUCAUCGAAUCUUUGAACGCACAUUGCGCCCGCCAGUAUUCUGGCGGGCAUGCCUGUUCGAGCGUCAUUUCAACCCUCAAGCCCAGCUUGGUGUUGGGGAUCGGCACAGGCGCCCUCGGGCGCCCGCCGUCCCCUAAAUCUAGUGGCGGUCCCGCUGCAGCCUCCUCUGCGUAGUAGUUUUCUCCUCGCAAGGGCAGCUCGGUGGCGACCUCGCCGUAAAACCCCCAACUUCUGAAAGGUUGACCUCGAAUCAGGUAGGGAUACCCGCUGAACUUAAGCAUAUCAGUAAGCGGAGGA